CUGAUUUUUGACAUGGCGGCACUGGCGAGAGUGACGUUAUCGAUAUCGUGAUGUGGUGAUGUGAUGACGAAAAUCAAAAAAUCAAGAUGGCGAUUCACGUGGCGUACCGCUAGCGCGUUUUUUUAUACAUGCAAGAAGGAUAAUUUCACCAAACAUUCUAGGUGAGGAGUAACAAGAACAACAUUGUUUGAAGACUGGAGAUUGGUCAACAGAGCGAAGUGGCAGCCUUGCGGAGAAUGGCCUAGCAAUGGUACAUGGAAGGUGCCGAAUUUGUGCCAGAUAAUCGUGGUGGGUCGAACGUUCGAGGUAAGUGAAGCAUUUUAUAAUCGCAGAAAUUCUAUGCACACCGCUAUAUCUAUCCUGAUUGUGCAUAGAAUGAUAUAUUCAGGCGCUAACAUGCGACCAACGAGAUAAUCUCAUGAAGAGAAAUAAACAAAAUCUAACUAAUGGCGGUGCAACCGGAUAUACCGGAAUCUCUUUCAUUGCGUCAGGACGAAAUAAAUGGGACUGGGACUCUCUUCACUUGGUCGCAUGUUAGCGCCAGAUCUAUUGAAGGUAGGUUCACAUUAUUACUCGUAGAUAAUAUAGUUUGUGUAUUAGAGCUCAUCAUCACAUCAGGCAAACCAAACCACAACGGUCCUAAACUGUUUGCGACCAGCGGCUCCUUGUGACACGUUCAAUGUCUUUGUCUACCGAGUGGAUCGACGAACACUGCACUUUCCGGUGCCGGGUCACCCUUCCCAUCAUCUUAGAACCCAAACGUCCAUCGACUCUUCUAACUAUGUGUUCCGUCUAUUAUCACUUCAGCAUUAUUACUCGUUGAGUAAUGUCGUUAACUUUGGGUUCUUCCGUGGUUAUCCUAAUUUCUGAUUUCGAUCUCGCAGAGAUACUCAAACCAUAGCUCGCUCCAUCGCCCGCUGAGUGACUCUGAGCCUUCUCAAGAGGCUCAUAGUUGGCCACCUAGUCUCCGAUCCAUAGGUCAUCAUUGGCAUGCGUACUCGUUCGAAGACUUUCGUCUUCAGGUACUGGGGAUUUUGGGUGACAAGUUGUCGCGGACUUGCCCGAACGCUGCUCAGCCGAGUUGGAUUCGGCGGUUUACCUCCUUCUCGAAAUUGGACUUACCUAACAGGAUCUCGUGUCCUAGGUAAACGUACUCGUCUUCAAUUUCAUGUACAGAGCUCUUAACGAUAAUUGGAUGGAACUGGAUACAUGAGCGUUGCACAUUAUGUUUGUCCUGCUCAUGUUCACAGGCCCACCCGUUGAGAAAAUAAUACUAAGGUCUCCCAUACUCUCUGCCAUGAGUGGGUGGGUGGGAGGAGGCUGUAGUUGUGGUAAGGUAAGGACGGAGGGGUCAAGUGGUGGAUAUGGGAGGUAACAGGUUCUAAAAGUCUAGAUAAACAGCCGCCACUCAAUGUGCCAGGUGUAACUCUUUUAUAUUUUUUUCGGCAUAAUUAGAGAAAUCGUGUCCCCAGAGUACCAGAUACUAAUUAGUCUUGCAAUAAAUGUUCAUCAGACAACCUUCAUAUUAGGUAUUAAUAUUUUUAUCAGAUACUAUUGAUAAAAUUGUAUUACUUAAUUAAAUAUAUACUUAGGCCUCCUUCAUCCGCAAAAUAAGUGCUUAGCGGACCUCUACAAUCUAUAAGCUACCUCUCUGCCAAAUUUCAUAUUUGUACGUCAAGCGGGUUUUGAGAUUUCGUGAUGAAGCUUUCGCAUUUAUAUAUUAAGAUUUAAUAAUUUCACAAAUUAAGAUUCAAUAAAUUCAUAAAGAGUUCCAACGAAAUCUGACCAAACUAAAUUUCCACAUGAUAUCCAUUUUUGACGACCAUAUAAUCGCAGCUGAAGGAGGCUGGCGUUGGCUGGCUAGAGAUUCAGAGAUGCUACAUUCGUUCCCUUGAAUUUGGUGAUAUACUGGACGCAUACGCUCUUGGGUAGUUAAGUACCAAUGAGCAGUUAAGCCUUAAAGUGAAGUGGGUAGUUAAGUACCAAGUAACGUUUAAGUGGAUAAGGGCUCAAUACGCCAAGAUUCGAAGAAAACUCGAUUUUCAAAAGACUGUAAAUCAAUAACUCCCUUACUUAGUUUUAAGUAAUGGUAGUAACAAGGAAUCUUACCAUAUUGCAUUGGAAAUUAAAUAAACAAAAUCAUUAUUGAAAUCCAUUCAUGAUAACUGGGUUCGGAGGUAUGAACACAGAUUUCACUUCGCUUCUCUCUUUCGUUUCGUUUACAUUCAUUGCACGUAAAAUCAAUUAUUUCUCGAAUUAUGCCGAACAAAAUAUUCUUUAUUGAGGGACCUUCAAAACCUGGUAUCUCCCAAAGACGCCAUGGUACAAACUCUGUUUGCUUACCGUAUUUAACUAUGAUAGGAGCGUGGGUAACAACUUAUUUGACUUCACAUUAUUUUUACGAAAUUAAGGAGGUAUUCGAAUUUCAUAACAAAAUUAAAAUCCUAUCACUGUAAUAGUACAUUUGACAUUGUUUUGUAUUGUAUAUUAAAACUAUUCUAAUAUAGUUAGACAACUUUUUGGAAGCAACAAUGUAUUUGCGAUUUUUUCGAAAUCACAGUAACAUAUUUACGUCACUGCCAGGGAUAGCUCAGAAAUGCCCCAUACUAAAAAUAUGACGUCAUUAUUUCGUAAAAAUUUUAAUAAAAAAAAUUCAACCGACU
rnacentral:lncRNA from 1 species